GGGUUGUGAGGUUAAGCGACUAAGCGUACACGGUGGAUGCCCUGGCAGUCAGAGGCGAUGAAGGGCGUGCUAAUCUGCGAUAAGCGCCGGUAAGGUGAUAUGAACCGUUAUAACCGGCGAUACCCGAAUGGGGAAACCCAGUGUGAUUCGUCACACUAUCAUUAACUGAAUCCAUAGGUUAAUGAGGCGAACCGGGGGAACUGAAACAUCUAAGUACCCCGAGGAAAAGAAAUCAACCGAGAUUCCCCCAGUAGCGGCGAGCGAACGGGGAGGAGCCCAGAGCCUGAAUCAGCAUGUGUGUUAGUGGAAGCGUCUGGAAAGGCGCGCGAUACAGGGUGACAGCCCCGUACACAAAAGCGCAUGUGCUGUGAGCUCGAUGAGUAGGGCGGGACACGUGGUAUCCUGUCUGAAUAUGGGGGGACCAUCCUCCAAGGCUAAAUACUCCUGACUGACCGAUAGUGAACCAGUACCGUGAGGGAAAGGCGAAAAGAACCCCGGCGAGGGGAGUGAAAAAGAACCUGAAANAACCCCGGCGAGGGGAGUGAAAAAGAACCUGAAACCGUGUACGUACAAGCAGUGGGAGCCCCACCACCAAAGCAUUUGCUGUACCGCGUUGACGGAGCGAAGCGACGUCAAACCGAUAAAACAGCAGUGUAAAGUGAGCCGCAGGGCGCUUUGCGCGACAGCGCAAAGGCAGGCGGUUUCGCGUAGCGAAAGCGAAUGCUUUGGGGUGGGNCGUGUACGUACAAGCAGUGGGAGCACAGGUUUACCUGUGUGACUGCGUACCUUUUGUAUAAUGGGUCAGCGACUUAUAUUCUGUAGCAAGGUUAACCGAAUAGGGGAGCCGGAGGGAAACCGAGUCUUAAUUGGGCGUUAAGUUGCAGGGUAUAGACCCGAAACCCGGUGAUCUAGCCAUGGGCAGGUUGAAGGUUGGGUAACACUAACUGGAGGACCGAACCGACUAAUGUUGAAAAAUUAGCGGAUGACCUGUGGCUGGGGGUGAAAGGCCAAUCAAACCGGGAGAUAGCUGGUUCUCCCCGAAAGCUAUUUAGGUAGCGCCUCGUGAAUUCAUCUCCGGGGGUAGAGCACUGUUUCGGCUAGGGGGCCAUCCCGGCUUACCAACCCGAUGCAAACUGCGAAUACCGGAGAAUGUUAUCACGGGAGACACACGGCGGGUGCUAACGUCCGUCGUGAAGAGGGAAACAACCCAGACCGCCAGCUAAGGUCCCAAAGUCAUGGUUAAGUGGGAAACGAUGUGGGAAGGCCCAGACAGCCAGGAUGUUGGCUUAGAAGCAGCCAUCAUUUAAAGAAAGCGUAAUAGCUCACUGGUCGAGUCGGCCUGCGCGGAAGAUGUAACGGGGCUAAACCAUGCACCGAAGCUGCGGCAGCGACACUGUGUNACGGGGCUAAACCAUGCACCGAAGCUGCGGCAGCGACGCUUAUGCGUUGUUGGGUAGGGGAGCGUUCUGUAAGCCUGCGAAGGUGGCCUGUGAGGGUUGCUGGAGGUAUCAGAAGUGCGAAUGCUGACAUAAGUAACGAUAAAGCGGGUGAAAAGCCCGCUCGCCGGAAGACCAAGGGUUCCUGUCCAACGUUAAUCGGGGCAGGGUGAGUCGACCCCUAAGGCGAGGCCGAAAGGCGUAGUCGAUGGGAAACGGGUUAAUAUUCCCGUACUUGGUGUUACUGCGAAGGGGGGACGGAGAAGGCUAUGUUGGCCGGGCGACGGUUGUCCCGGUUUAAGCGUGUAGGUGUGUGUUCCAGGUAAAUCCGGUUCACUUUAACACUGAGGCGUGACGACGAGGCACUACGGUGCUGAAGCAACAAAUGCCCUGCUUCCAGGAAAAGCCUCUAAGCAUCAGGUAACAUCAAAUCGUACCCCAAACCGACACAGGUGGUCAGGUAGAGAAUACCAAGGCGCUUGAGAGAACUCGGGUGAAGGAACUAGGCAAAAUGGUGCCGUAACUUCGGGAGAAGGCACGCUGACACGUAGGUGAAGUGAUUUACUCAUGGAGCUGAAGUCAGUCGAAGAUACCAGCUGGCUGCAACUGUUUAUUAAAAACACAGCACUGUGCAAACACGAAAGUGGACGUAUACGGUGUGACGCCUGCCCGGUGCCGGAAGGUUAAUUGAUGGGGUCAGCGCAAGCGAAGCUCCUGAUCGAAGCCCCGGUAAACGGCGGCCGUAACUAUAACGGUCCUAAGGUAGCGAAAUUCCUUGUCGGGUAAGUUCCGACCUGCACGAAUGGCGUAAUGAUGGCCAGGCUGUCUCCACCCGAGACUCAGUGAAAUUGAACUCGCUGUGAAGAUGCAGUGUACCCGCGGCAAGACGGAAAGACCCCGUGAACCUUUACUAUAGCUUGACACUGAACAUUGAGCCUUGAUGUGUAGGAUAGGUGGGAGGCUUUGAAGUGUGGACGCCAGUCUGCAUGGAGCCGACCUUGAAAUACCACCCUUUAAUGUUUGAUGUUCUAACGUGGACCCGUUACCCGGGUUGCGGACAGUGUCUGGUGGGUAGUUUGACUGGGGCGGUCUCCUCCUAAAGAGUAACGGAGGAGCACGAAGGUUGGCUAAUCCUGGUCGGACAUCAGGAGGUUAGUGCAAUGGCAUAAGCCAGCUUGACUGCGAGCGUGACGGCGCGAGCAGGUGCGAAAGCAGGUCAUAGUGAUCCGGUGGUUCUGAAUGGAAGGGCCAUCGCUCAACGGAUAAAAGGUACUCCGGGGAUAACAGGCUGAUACCGCCCAAGAGUUCAUAUCGACGGCGGUGUUUGGCACCUCGAUGUCGGCUCAUCACAUCCUGGGGCUGAAGUAGGUCCCAAGGGUAUGGCUGUUCGCCAUUUAAAGUGGUACGCGAGCUGGGUUUAGAACGUCGUGAGACAGUUCGGUCCCUAUCUGCCGUGGGCGCUGGAGAACUGAGGGGGGCUGCUCCUAGUACGAGAGGACCGGAGUGGACGCAUCACUGGUGUUCGGGUUGUCAUGCCAAUGGCACUGCCCGGUAGCUAAAUGCGGAAGAGAUAAGUGCUGAAAGCAUCUAAGCACGAAACUUGCCCCGAGAUGAGUUCUCCCUGAGACUUAGAGUCUCCUGAAGGAACGUUGAAGACGACGACGUUGAUAGGCCGGGUGUGUAAGCGCAGCGAUGCGUUGAGCUAACCGGUACUAAUGAACCGUGAGGCUUAACCUUACAACGCCGAAG
rnacentral:rRNA from 1 species